GGGUUGUGAGGUUAAGCGAACAAGCGUACACGGUGGAUGCCCUGGCAGUCAGAGGCGAUGAAGGACGUGCUAAUCUGCGAAAAGCGCCGGUAAGGUGAUAUGAACCGUUAUAACCGGCGAUGUCCGAAUGGGGAAACCCGGUGCACUUCGGUGCAUCAUCGUUAGCUGAAUACAUAGGCUAACGAGGCGAACCGGGGGAACUGAAACAUCUAAGUACCCCGAGGAAAAGAAAUCAACCGAGAUUCCCCCAGUAGCGGCGAGCGAACGGGGAACAGCCCAGAGCCUGAAUCAGCUUGUGUGUCAGUGGAACGGUCUGGAAAGGCCGGCGAUACAGGGUGACAGCCCCGUACACGAAGGCACACAGGCUGUGAGCUCGAUGAGUAGGGCGGGACACGUGAUAUCCUGUCUGAAGAUGGGGGGACCAUCCUCCAAGGCUAAAUACUCCUGACUGACCGAUAGUGAACCAGUACCGUGAGGGAAAGGCGAAAAGAACCCCGGCGAGGGGAGUGAAACAGAACCUGAAACCGUGUACGUACAAGCAGUGGGAGCCUUCGUAAGAGGGUGACUGCGUACCUUUUGUAUAAUGGGUCAGCGACUUAUAUUCUGUAGCAAGGUUAACCGUAUAGGGGAGCCGAAGGGAAACCGAGUCUUAACCGGGCGUUAAGUUGCAGGGUAUAGACCCGAAACCCGGUGAUCUAGCCAUGGGCAGGUUGAAGGUUGGGUAACACUAACUGGAGGACCGAACCGACUAAUGUUGAAAAAUUAGCGGAUGACCUGUGGCUGGGGGUGAAAGGCCAAUCAAACCGGGAGAUAGCUGGUUCUCCCCGAAAGCUAUUUAGGUAGCGCCUCGUGAACUCAUCUCCGGGGGUAGAGCACUGUUUCGGCUAGGGGGCCAUCCCGGCUUACCAACCCGAUGCAAACUGCGAAUACCGGAGAAUGUUAUCACGGGAGACACACGGCGGGUGCUAACGUCCGUCGUGAAGAGGGAAACAACCCAGACCGCCAGCUAAGGUCCCAAAGUCAUGGUUAAGUGGGAAACGAUGUGGGAAGGCCCAGACAGCCAGGAUGUUGGCUUAGAAGCAGCCAUCAUUUAAAGAAAGCGUAAUAGCUCACUGGUCGAGUCGGCCUGCGCGGAAGAUGUAACGGGGCUAAACCAUGCACCGAAGCUGCGGCAGCGACACUAUGUGUUGUUGGGUAGGGGAGCGUUCUGUAAGCCUGCGAAGGUGUGCUGUGAGGCAUGCUGGAGGUAUCAGAAGUGCGAAUGCUGACAUAAGUAACGAUAAAGCGGGUGAAAAGCCCGCUCGCCGGAAGACCAAGGGUUCCUGUCCAACGUUAAUCGGGGCAGGGUGAGUCGACCCCUAAGGCGAGGCCGAAAGGCGUAGUCGAUGGGAAACAGGUUAAUAUUCCUGUACUUGGUGUUACUGCGAAGGGGGGACGGAGAAGGCUAUGUCGGCCGGGCGACGGUUGUCCCGGUUUAAGCGUGUAGGCUGACUUUCCAGGCAAAUCCGGAAGGUUAAGGCUGAGGCGUGAUGACGAGGCACUACGGUGCUGAAGUGACAAAUGCCCUGCUUCCAGGAAAAGCCUCUAAGCAUCAGGUAACAUCAAAUCGUACCCCAAACCGACACAGGUGGUCAGGUAGAGAAUACCAAGGCGCUUGAGAGAACUCGGGUGAAGGAACUAGGCAAAAUGGUGCCGUAACUUCGGGAGAAGGCACGCUGACAUGUAGGUGAAGCCCCUGCGGGUGGAGCUGAAGUCAGUCGAAGAUACCAGCUGGCUGCAACUGUUUAUUAAAAACACAGCACUGUGCAAACACGAAAGUGGACGUAUACGGUGUGACGCCUGCCCGGUGCCGGAAGGUUAAUUGAUGGGGUUAUCGCAAGAGAAGCUCCUGAUCGAAGCCCCGGUAAACGGCGGCCGUAACUAUAACGGUCCUAAGGUAGCGAAAUUCCUUGUCGGGUAAGUUCCGACCUGCACGAAUGGCGUAAUGAUGGCCAGGCUGUCUCCACCCGAGACUCAGUGAAAUUGAACUCGCUGUGAAGAUGCAGUGUACCCGCGGCAAGACGGAAAGACCCCGUGAACCUUUACUACAGCUUGACACUGAACAUUGAGCCUUGAUGUGUAGGAUAGGUGGGAGGCUUUGAAGCGUGGACGCCAGUCUGCGUGGAGCCAACCUUGAAAUACCACCCUUUAAUGUUUGAUGUUCUAACCUGGCGCCGUGAUCCGGCGUGGGGACAGUGUCUGGUGGGUAGUUUGACUGGGGCGGUCUCCUCCCAAAGUGUAACGGAGGAGCACGAAGGUCAGCUAAUCCUGGUCGGACAUCAGGAGGUUAGUGCAAUGGCAUAAGCUGGCUUGACUGCGAGAGUGACGGCUCGAGCAGGUGCGAAAGCAGGUCAUAGUGAUCCGGUGGUUCUGUAUGGAAGGGCCAUCGCUCAACGGAUAAAAGGUACUCCGGGGAUAACAGGCUGAUACCGCCCAAGAGUUCAUAUCGACGGCGGUGUUUGGCACCUCGAUGUCGGCUCAUCACAUCCUGGGGCUGAAGUAGGUCCCAAGGGUAUGGCUGUUCGCCAUUUAAAGUGGUACGCGAGCUGGGUUUAGAACGUCGUGAGACAGUUCGGUCCCUAUCUGCCGUGGGCGCUGGAGAAUUGAGGGGGGCUGCUCCCAGUACGAGAGGACCGGAGUGGACGCAUCACUGGUGUUCGGGUUGUCAUGCCAAUGGCACUGCCCGGUAGCUAAAUGCGGAAGAGAUAAGUGCUGAAAGCAUCUAAGCACGAAACUUGCCCCGAGAUGAGUUCUCCCUGAGACUGUAAGUCUCCUGAAGGAACGUUGAAGACGACGACGUUGAUAGGCCGGGUGUGUAAGCGCAGCGAUGCGUUGAGCUAACCGGUACUAAUGAACCGUGAGGCUUAACCUUACAACGCCAAAGAAGU
rnacentral:rRNA from 1 species